GCUCGUGUCUUCAAGGCAUC
rnacentral:miRNA from 1 species